rnacentral:rRNA from 1 species
GCCUGCAGCUAUAUCACCCUGCAACUCGCCCCUGGCAGCCCCACUGAAGCUCAGCAGGUGUGAGCCUGGCCAGUACCUGGAUGGGAGACCUCCUGGGAAAAACUAAGGUUGCUGCUGGAA